rnacentral:rRNA from 1 species
AGAGUUUGAUCAUGGCUCAGGAUGAACGCUAGCUACAGGCUUAACACAUGCAAGUCGAGGGGCAGCAUGUUGGUUGCUUGCAACCAACGAUGGCGACCGGCGCACGGGUGAGUAACGCGUAUCCAACCUACCCUUGUCCAUCGGAUAACCCGUCGAAAGGCGGCCUAACACGAUAUGCGGUUCACAGCAGGCAUCUAACGUGAACGAAAUGUAAAGGAGAAGGAUGGGGAUGCGUCUGAUUAGCUUGUUGGCGGGGUAACGCCACAGGCUACGAUCAGUAGGGGUUCUGGAGAGGAAGGUCCCCCANAUUGGAACUGAGACACGGUCCAAACUCCGUACGGGAGCA